CUCGUAGGCGGUUCGACAAGUCGGGUGUGAAAACUCCGGGCUCAACCCGGAGACGCCACCCGAUACUGUUGUGACUGGAGUCCGGUAGGGGAGUGGGGAAUUCCUGGUGUAGCGGUGAAAUGCGCAGAUAUCAGGAGGAACACCGGUGGCGAAGGCGCCACUCUGGGCCGGUACUGACGCUGAGGAGCGACAGCGUGGGGAGAAC
rnacentral:rRNA from 1 species